rnacentral:rRNA from 1 species
AGGAUUCCCCUAGUAACUGCGAGUGAAGCGGGAAAAGCUCAAAUUUAAAAUCUGGCAGCCUUUGGCUGUCCGAGUUGUAAUUUAGAGAAGCACUGCCUGCGCUGGACUGUGUACAAGUCUCCUGGAAUGGAGCGUCAUAGAGGGUGAGAAUCCCGUAUAUGACACAGUUGCCAGGGCUUAGUGGCCUGCUCUCCAAGAGUCGAGUUGUUUGGGAAUGCAGCUCAAAAUGGGUGGUAAAUUCCAUCUAAAGCUAAAUACAGGCGAGAAACCGAUAGCGAACAAGUACCGUGAGGGAAAGAUGAAAAGAACUUUGGAAAGAGAGUUAAACAGUACGUGAAAUUGUUGAAAGGGAAACGCUUGAAGUCAGUCGCAUUGCUGGAAAUCACACUUGCUUUUUUCAUUGCUUGUGGCUCUUUCCUAGUAAUGGGUCAGCAUCAGUUUUGAUUGUUGGACAAGGGUCAGAGGAAUGUGGCAUCCUUGGAUGUGUUAUAGCCUCUGAUCAUAUGCAAUGAUGGAGACUGAGGAACUCGGCACUUUUGUGCUUAGGAUGCUGGCAUAAUGGCUUUAAUCGACCCGUCUUGAAACACGGACCA